AGCAGCCGCGGUAAUUCCAGCUCCAAUAGCGUAUAUUAAAGUUGUUGCAGUUAAAAAGCUCGUAGUUGAAUUUCGGGACCAAUUUGUUGGUCGUGCCUCGGUACGUACUGGUAUUAUUGGUUUCUACCUUCUGAAGAACCUUGAUGUCAUUAAUUUGGUGUCUUGGGGAAUCAGGACUUUUACCUUGAGAAAAU
rnacentral:rRNA from 1 species